rnacentral:rRNA from 1 species
GACGAACGCUGGCGGCGUGCUUAACACAUGCAAGUCGAACGGAGUGGCGAACGGGUGAGUAACACGUGGGUGACCUUCCCUGCACUUCGGGAUAAGCCUGGGAAACUGGGUCUAAUACCGGAUAGUGUGGGAUGGGCCCGCGGCCUAUCAGCUUGUUGGUGGGGUAAUGGCCUACCAAGGCGGCGACGGGUAGCCGGCCUGAGAGGGUGGACGGCCACAUUGGGACUGAGAGACGGCGCAGACGCGUACGGGAGGCAGCAGUGGGGAAUAUUGCACAAUGGGGGGGAGCCUGAUGAAGCGACGCUGGGGGGGGAAUGACGGCCUUCGGGGUGUAAACGCCUUUCACCAUAGACGCGGUAGAUGGAGAAGAAGCACCGGCUAACUACGUGCCAGCAGCCGCGGUAAUUC